GAUGAACGCUGGCGGCGUGCCUAAUACAUGCAAGUCGAGCGAACGGACGAGAAGCUUGCUCCUCUGAUGUUAGCGGCGGACGGGUGAGUAACACGUGGAUAACCUCCCUAUAAGACUGGGAUCACUUCGGGAAACCGUAGCUAAUACCGGAUAAUAUCUUGAACCGCAUGGUUCAAAAGUGAAAGACGGUCUUGCUGUCACUUAUAGAUGGAUCCGCUCUGCAUUAGCGAGUUGGUAAGGUAACGGCUUACCAAGGCAACGAUGCAUAGCCGACCUGAGAGGGUGAUCGGCCACACUGGAACUGAGACACGGUCCAGACUCCUACGGGAGGCAGCAGUAGGGAAUCUUCCGCAAUGGGCGAAAGCCUGACGGAGCCACGCCGCGUGAGUGAUGAAGGUCUUCGGAUCGUAAAGCUCUGUUAUUAGGGAAGAACAUAUGUGUAAGUAACUGUGCACAUAUUGACGGUACCUAAUCAGAAAGCCACGGCUAACUACGUG
rnacentral:rRNA from 1 species